rnacentral:rRNA from 1 species
GACGAACGCUGGCGGCGUGCUUAACACAUGCAAGUCGAACGGAAAGGCCCUGCUUUUGUGGGGUGCUCGAGUGGCGAACGGGUGAGUAACACGUGAGUAACCUGCCCUUGACUUUGGGAUAACUUCAGGAAACUGGGGCUAAUACCGGAUAGGAGCUCCUGCUGCAUGUGGGGGGUGGAAAGUUUCGGCGGUUGGGGAUGGACUCGCGGCUUAUCAGCUUGUUGGUGGGGGAGUGGCUUACCAAGGCUUUGACGGGUAGCCGGCCUGAGAGGGUGACCGGCCACAUUGGGACUGAGAUACGGCCCAGACUCCUACGGGAGGCAGCAGUGGGGAAUAUUGCACAAUGGGCGGAAGCCUGAUGCAGCAACGCCGCGUGCGGGAUGACGGCCUUCGGGUUGUAAACCGCUUUCGCCUGUGACGAAGCGUGAGUGACGGUAAUGGGUAAAGAAGCACCGGCUAACUACGUG